AGAAGAGGAAUGUCUGAGACUUCUGAACUUUGGCAGACACAGUUGGUGUUAGAGUUCUUCAGCUCCUGAAGCCACCAGGAGUGGGUAUAUAACCACCCUAAGCGGGGGCUCUUCAUAAACUCUGAAUUCCUCCCUGUUGUGAAGUGCACAAUAGACAACACCUUGGACCACUUGCUACAAGCUGGGGGUGAUACGUGUGUGCAUGCCUACCUCAGCGGGCAGCCCUUUGAGAAUCUCAGCUGAGCAUGCUGGCCUGCUUCCUGGUCUACCACUCCGUGCCAGCACCAGGGCACCUGCCAUCCAUAGGACUAGAAGGGAGCACGAGCUUUGCUGAACUACUCUUCAAAUUUAAACAGCUGAAAAUGCCAGUGCGAGCUUUGCUAAGAUUGGCUCCUUUGCUUCUUGGAAAUCCACAGCCAAUGGUAAUGUGACCAUGCUUGGUGGUAAACCUACUUUGAAACAUCACUUCUGCACAAAAACAUGACCAAACAUUAAAGUGAAAGUUUUAUAAUAUAAUUAGGAAGACAUGAGCUGCAUAAAUCUUAAUGUACUUUAAA